rnacentral:lncRNA from 1 species
CGCCCAGAGUCACACCUGGGGUGGUGCCAGUCCCCUCAUGGUCCUGGGCUUUUCUCUUUCUUUGUCAAUCCGCAUGGGUGGUCGGUGGUCCCCGGGCCCUCAUGGCAUCCGGAGGGUGACUGUAUCCUUUGCACCAAGCAGGGACUCACCCCUGCCUGAGGUUGUCACAAGAACGAAAGGAGGGUGGGCCUUCCCGACCGCCAGUGUGAGUAGAUCCCGAGGGGAUAGUGGGGCCCCACCGUGGCUCAUGGAGGAGAGAGUACAGGGCUGGCUCUGGCCCCCAAACAUCAGCAGGGCAUUUCUGGGGUGCAUUCGUAACUCUCCUGAGCCUGUGUUCUUACCUGCCCAGUGGAGAUGAUGAUACCUACAGAGCAGGCUUGUGGGACAGGAGGGGAUCUGUACAGGUGCACAUUCACGCGUGUGCACAUGUUGUGUGCAUAUGUGUGGGUGUGUGUGCCUACGUACACGCUCGCUGUAUGGGCCCAAGCACAUGCUGUGCUGUUUUGGGGGGUGAGAUGGGGCCCCAAAGCACUGUGCCCGGCUCUGGCCAUUGGGGCCCGGCUGCCACGGCGGGCGAAGGCUUGGAAGCCUCAGAUGAGGGUGUCUGGGUGGCUGAGGGCUUCGCGUCAGCCUGAAACCAAGGAGCCUGGCUUUUCCACCUGGUGUUGCACCAUGGCACAGCUUGCUGGGGCCCUGGAGCGAGUCUCCUGACCCACGGGCCUCAGGGUCCUGAGGAAGGGGUGGGAUGAGCCCGGACCAAGGGCUUGGGCGCCUCCCUCCGGUUGUGCUUUGUACUGUCCCACCUGGCUGGGCUCCAGAUGUGAGCUCAGGUCCACAGCCACCCCGUUCUUUUUUCUGCCUCCGCCAGCCCUUUGGAUCAUCUCCCUGCUGCUCCCAUCCACAGGGAUGGGGUGGGGGCGCUGCUCAGCACCUCUCUGCCCUCAGUGGUGCUGAAUGACCCCACCUCCCCGUGCCCUAUGUGAUCAGGGCUGGAGUCGCUGCAGUGCAUCCUGCCUGUGACCAGGCAUGAGUGGCCCCAAAGGGUGGGUGUGUGACCCACCUGCUACGAUCCUUGAGGACCAGAGCACCAGCCCCAGGCCCUGAG